CAGUAGCCGCGGGAAUACAGAGGAUGCAAGCGUUAUCCGGAAUGAUUGGGCGUAAAGCGUCUGUAGGUGGCUUCUCAAGUCCGCCGUCAAAUCCCAGGGCUCAACCCUGGACAGGCGGUGGAAACUACCAAGCUGGAGUACGGUAGGGGCAGAGGGAAUUUCCGGUGGAGCGGUGGAAUGCGUUGAGAUCGGAAAGAACACCAACGGCGAAAGUACUCUGCUGGGCCGACACUGGCACUGAGAGACGAAAGCUAGGGGAGCAAAUGGGAUUAGAUACCCGGGUAGUCCCUGUCUCUUAUAC
rnacentral:rRNA from 1 species